CGUGCGGUUCUAUUUUGUUGGUUUCUAGGACCGCCGUAAUGAUUAAUAGGGACAGUCGGGGGCAUCAGUAUUCAAUUGUCAGAGGUGAAAUUCUUGGAUCUAUUGAAGACUAACUACUGCGAAAGCAUUUGCCAAGGAUGUUUUCAUUAAUCAGGAACGAAAGUUAGGGGAUCGAAGACGAUCAGAUACCGUCGUAGUCUUAACCAUAAACUAUGCCGACUAGGGAUCGGACGAUGUUAUUUUUUGACUCGUUCGGCACCUUACACGAAAGUACAAGUUUCUGGGUUCUGGGGGGAGUAUGGUCGCAAGGCUGAAACUUAAAGAAAUUGACGGAAGGGCACCACCAGGAGUGGAGCCUGCGGCUUAAUUUGACUCAACACGGGGAAACUC
rnacentral:rRNA from 1 species